GACGAACGCUGGCGGCGUGCUUAACACAUGCAAGUCGAACGGAAAGGCCCUGCUUUUGUGGGGUGCUCGAGUGGCGAACGGGUGAGUAACACGUGAGUAACCUGCCCUUGACUUUGGGAUAACUUCAGGAAACUGGGGCUAAUACCGGAUAGGAGCUCCUGCUGCAUGGUGGGGGUUGGAAAGUUUCGGCGGUUGGGGAUGGACUCGCGGCUUAUCAGCUUGUUGGUGGGGUAGUGGCUUACCAAGGCUUUGACGGGUAGCCGGCCUUAGAGGGGGACCGGCCACAUUGGGACUACGAGACGGCCCAGACUCCUACGUGAGGCAGCAGUGGGGAAUAUUGCACAAUGGGCGGAAGCCUGAUGCAGCAACGCCGCGUGCGGGAUGACGGCCUUCGGGUUGUAAACCGCUUUCGCCGGUGACGAAGCGUGAGUGACGGUAAUGGGUAAAGAAGCACCGGCUAACUACGUG
rnacentral:rRNA from 1 species